CACUGCAGGGACAUCCUUAAACCACUGUGCCACAAGAGAACUCUGAAACUGUGUCUUAAUGAUGGUCCCUUGAAGAAAGGCUGGAGUGGAAGUCACAGAAAGCUUAAAAAGAAAGGGAAGUAAGACCUUCAGUGUUUUGAUGAGCCAAUCAGGAGCUCUGUAUGAACAAUUCUGGUUUUAGUCAAGAAUCUCAGUUGUAAGUGACAAAAAACCCACUCACUCGCCGAAGCACAACACAAAACAAAAACUUCAUGGACUAACCUAACUGAAAAGACCAAGACUGGUUCAGGAAAAAUGGGCCUCGGCAGGGUUCAACCUGCAUCAGCAACAGUUUCUUGGCUUUGUCUUUGGGUUGACCUCAUUCUCAGUCCUACACGGUGCCUCCAGCUCACCCCUUCCUUUUCAUCAAUGGCCCGAACAGAAAGAGAGUAGGCAGAUGUCCCUCUCUCUCAACAGUUCCAGCCAAAACCCCCAACAUUUCAGAUCCUCAGCUCUGACUGGGUCACACGCCCAUCUUUACCCGAAUUGUGGUAGCCAGGGGGACGCAAUGCUCUGAUUGGCUGGAACCGAGUCACAAGCCUAUCCUGGGUUCUCUUGGUGGAGCCAGCCCAUCAAAGCACGUGAACUGAGACUAGAGAAGGUAGGUUUCCCCAAAAGAAAGCUGAGGCACAAUCUGGUAUUUUCUUCUCUCUCUAGAAGAAUGAUUGGCUGUCAAGCAGACAAAAAAAAAUGGCAGUCGUCCACAGCAGCACUGUGGUUGACUAAGCAGAGAUCAUGUGUCCUCUAUAAUGUCUUUAAGGAGCUCACGUUAUGUUCAGAGAAAAGGGACAUUACAUGCAGGAAAACAAAGAAAAUAUAUAAUAAUGAAGUGAAUUGUAGGCUCUUAUUUGCAGGCAACAGAAUUCAGUACUUUAAGCAGAUAAUUUGAGGUAGUUUAUAUUUCAGUGGGGCAGAGAAUUGGGUUUGGAGGCUACAAAUAAGAACAAAGCAGUCAGGAAAAAAGAAGAGAUGUGACAAUAAGAACUGGUCAUCAGAAAACUACCACCCACUGUCUCGGAAGAACAAGAAGGUUUUGCCACUUCUUUGGCCAGAACACCUGACCACCUGUACCUAGCAGCCGCCCAACAUUGCUCACUUCUGCCUGUCAGUCCGGAGCAGGCUUCCGGGCGACACGCAGCGUCAGUGCUGCCAACAGCGACCCAUGUCCAGGGACGUCAGAUCCCCCACGUGGGUGGAGCUAUGCGUCUAUGGCUCCGUCUGCCUGAAGUGCCUUUGCGACCUUUCUGCCCCGCCAAGACCUACGCAGCACGGAGCUUGGGAGUCCCCGUUGGGGGGAAAGCCCUUUGCAAAGACCCCAGAGGAAAGGAGUCGCUCUUGUCCCCGCCCCCACCCCUCCUACAGCCCGCCGCCCACCAGCCGGUCUUAACUCACGGCUUUUGCCACCUGGCCCAGGACCGACCACAUAGAAGUUGACGGAACAAGACCAAAUCAACUUAAAACAAACAAACAAACAAACAAACAA